rnacentral:rRNA from 1 species
AGUGAACAGGAAAAAGCUCAAAGUUGGAACCUGUUUGGCCUAGCUAAACCGGAUUGUAAACUGUAGAAGUGUUUUCCAGGCAAGCCGGACCGAUAAGUCCUUUGGAACAGGGCAUCAUAGAGGGUGAGAAUCCCGUCUUCGGUCUGAGCAUUUGCCUUUUGCGAUACACUUUCAAAGAGUCAGGUUGUUUGGGAAUGCAGCCUAAAUUGGGUGGUAAAUCUCACCUAAAGCUAAAUAUUGGCGAGAAACCGAUAGCGAACAAGUACCGUGAGGGAAAGAUGAAAAGAACUUUGAAAAGAGAGUUAAACAGUAUGUGAAAUUGUUAAAAGGGAACCGUUUGGAGCCAGACUGGCUUGUCUGUAAUCAGUCUAAGCUUCGGCUUGGAUGCACUUGCAGGCUAUGCCUGCCAACGACAAUUUGGCUUGAGGGAAAAAACUAAGGGAAAUGUGGCCCAUCCGUGGGUGUUAUAGUCCCUUAGAAAAUACCUUGGGCUGGAUUGAGGUACGCAGCGAAUGCUAUUUGGCGAGUUGGCUGGGAAUAUUUUCUGAGGUGCUUUGGUACUGAGGUUGAUAUUCCUAGUUACACUUCUAUUCGCUUAGGUUGUUGGCUUAAUGACUCUAAAUGACCCGUCUUGAAACACGGAC